rnacentral:rRNA from 1 species
ACACCUGCCCGGUGCUGGAAGGUUAAGUGGAGGGUUUAGUACGCCUUUGGCGUACGAAGAUCUCAAAUGAAGCCCCAGUAAACGGCGGCCGUAACAAUAACGGUCCUAAGGUAGCGAAAUUCCUUGUCGGGUAAGUUCCGACCUGCACGAAUGGUGUAACGAUUUGGAUACUGUCUCAGCCAUGAGCUCGGUGAAAUUGUAGUAUCGGUGAAGAUGCCGAUUACCCGCAGUGGGACGAAAAGACCCCGUGAACCUUUACUAUAGCUUAGUAUUGGCUUUGGAUAAGUAAUGUGUAGGAUAGGUGGGAGACUUCGACCGUGCGUCGCCAGGCGUGCGUGAGUCAUUGUUGAAAUACCACCCUUUGCUUAUCUAGAGUCUAACCCAGCAAUGGGGACAGUGCUUGGUGGGUAGUUUGACUGGGGUGGUCGCCUCCAAAAGAGUAACGGAGGCUUCUAAAGGUUCCCUCAGCACGCUUGGUAACCGUGCGCAGAGUGCAAUGGCAUAAGGGAGCUUGACUGAGAGACAUACAGGUCGAUCAGGUACGAAAGUAGAGCAUAGUGAUCCGGUGGUUCCGCAUGGAAGGGCCAUCGCUCAAAGGAUAAAAGGUACUCCGGGGAUAACAGGCUGAUCUCCCCCAAGAGCUCACAUCGACGGGGGGGUUUGGCACCUCGAUGUCGGCUCGUCACAUCCUGGGGCUGGAGAAGGUCCCAAGGGUUGGGCUGUUCGCCCAUUAAAGUGGCACGCGAGCUGGGUUCAGAACGUCGCAAGACAGUUCGGUCCCUAUCUGUUGCGGGCGUAGGAAUAUUGAGGAGAGCUAUCACUAGUACGAGAGGACCGUGAUGGACGUACCGCUAGUGUACCUGUUGUGUCGCCAGAUGCAUCGCAGGGUAGCUAUGUACGGAAUGGAUAAGCGCUGAAAGCAUCUAAGCGCGAAGCCAACUCCAAGAUGAGUAUUCCAUCCACGUUUCGGCGUGGUGAAGGGUCGUGGGAGAUGACCACGUUGAUAGGUUACAGGUGGAAGUGCAGUGAUGUAUGAAGCCGAGUAAUACUAAUUACCCGAUAGCUUCCUUUU